AUACGGAGGAUCCGAGCGUUAUCCGGAUUUAUUGGGUUUAAAGGGUGCGCAGGCGGCCAUUUAAGUCAGCGGUUAAAUCGUGGGGCUCAACCCCAUUCUGCCGUUGAUACUGGGUGGCUUGAUUGCGGUCGAGGUUGGCGGAAUUCGUUGUGUAGCGGUGAAAUGCAUAGAUAUGACGAAGAACACCGAUUGCGUAGGCAGCUGACCAGACCGCAAAUGACGCUCAUGCACGAAAGUGCGGGGAUCGAACAGGAUUAGAUACCCUGGUAGUCCGCACAGUAAACGAUGAAUACUUGUUUUCGGCGAUAUAAUGUCGGAGGCAACGCGAAAGCGAUAAGUAUUCCACCUGGGGAGUACGCCGGCAACGGUGAAACUCAAAGGAAUUGACGGGG
rnacentral:rRNA from 1 species